UAGAGCGCUUCCCUGUCAAUAGAGGCAGCUUUUUAAAGUAAUUUAAAUUGAAAAACUAGGCUAAUUCGGGGAAACCUUUAAAAUGGUAAUCCCGAGCUAAAUCAAUGUUUUAACAAACGUUGUAAAUGUGUAGAGACUAUAUACCUAGCUCCUGGAAUUUUUUCCAGGAUGAUAAGAUAGUCCGAACCUCGCGGAAACGCUUGG
rnacentral:ncRNA from 1 species